CCAAGUUCAUUAAUUCAGGGAGCUGCUGUAUUUGAGUAGCUCAGUUAUCUACACAACACAGUGGAUUAAUCGUUCACAUCAUCAGGCACUGGAAUCUCAAUCAUUACUGUGCCCACAAACAAGUGGGCAACAGGAUUGUCAGAUAUUCCAACUGUC